UGCCGCCGCCGGCGCUGCUGCGGGUGUGGUUCCCCAUGGCUCUGACGCCGCUGCCGAGGUAGGUGUUGCGCCUGAUGAAUUGGGCUCAAACCGGAAGGGGCCUGCCGACGACGUGGUCCAGGUUAGGUUGCCCCGCCCACCGGUGCGGAUUGAUUGCUGCUAGCCUCAAAGUGCAGGAAUAGAAAUCCGGCGAGUCGCUUUCUGCUAUGAUAGAUAACUCGACGAGCAUCUGUGCUUUGCCUAAGAUGAUGUCAAAGCCAAAAGAAAGGACAUCAUCGACCACCAUUAUGUCUGCAGCCGGAGAAUACGAUCGGCUCCGUAUAUGGUUAUAGAAAAAAGGGCGCCCAUCUGGCCAUGUUUACCUUAUCCCUUUUAAGGGAAUAAAAUAAGGGCCCAUGUUUGGCAAGACCUGAUUCAGUGACAGUGAGGCCGGCCUAUUAACGAAACGGCCCACGGGCUAGGUGCGGGCGAAAUCAGUAACAUGGGCCGUAUCGCAUCAACCGCGCGCGCACUGCAGUUCCGCGGCCCAACAGCCAGCGACCGACACCGAACUCGUGGCCUCCCACCCCGGCUCCGACGGCGGCGGAACUCGGAAGAACUAGCUAGCGCCGCCCGCCACGGCAUCCUGCGCCGCCAGGGUGAUGGUGGUUGGAAAAGAUCGAUCAAUCUUGCUUGCUGCGACUGUAAUGACCCAAGGAGCUGUGUUAAAGAGAACUUGUGAUCUUGGGCCACCGUUUCCCCCAGCAUAAACAACAGUAAUACCAUUCUGGACGGCAUGGAGUGCACCAAAAGAAUCAUCAUCGGCGACUAAUGAGAGAGACAGGAUGUCAACUCCAUCAUGUAUUGCGUCGUCCAUUGCUGCUAGCACUGCGGCAGUAGCAAGGUUUUCUGAUGGUAUGGACUGGAACUCAAAAAGCAAGACAAAUUAUAUGGUUACCUUCCAAGAAUGGUGCUGAGCAUUUCAUGAUGUGAAGCAGUAACAAGAGUAUGGUCAUCAUGUUUCUUGUCACCCAGGUAGGCGAUGUAUAACUAUGCAUAUAGAGGUAUAGAAAACAUGUUUUAAUAGAUAAUAGGGCUAACUUAUGCAUAAACCUCCAAUCUCAAAACUAUUUUGAAAUUAAAACUCUAGAUAUACCACCCUUUAAAAUUGAAGAGCGAACUCAGAGUAUGAUAGAAGAAAUUAAAAGGGUGAAUUUGCUUUGAACUGUGAGCAAUGGUCUUCUUCUUUCCUCCUUUGGUUCAGUACUUUGGUUUAUAAUUGGCAAAAACUUUUUUUUGAUUACUCUCAAUAUAAAAUGUAUUUAAACCUGAAUACAUGUAAAUAGAAUACCUUUAUAAGUAAUUCAACAAAUUUAUUUUUGUAUAUUUUUAAAACUACUCCCUCCAUUCCAAAUUGUAGGUCGGUUUGACUUUUCUCGAUACAUAGUUUUUACGAUGUAUUUAGACAUGGUGCUUAUCUAAAUACGUAGCAAAGGCUAUGAAUCUAGAAAAGCCAAAACAACCUAUAAUUUGGAAUGGAGGGAGUAAUUUGAUACACAAACUAGAAGUUUAUGCACCAUGGUUCUUGUGUACCAAAUAUCUUCCAAUCGAAUAGAACUAUGAAAACAAACGUAGUUUAACACUUUAUUCAUACCUUGCGAGAUCCAUCUGCUCGGAUCAUCAUGAAACUAAAGAAAAUCAGGAGGCAAGCUGAUAGACGCUGAGAGGGCAAGUGAAGAGCCAUGUUGCCAGUACAUGCUAAUCCGAUCCAGUGGGUUAUGCUAUUUGUAGGCUAUGGGGUCUUCAGUUCUUGUAGGUGGCUAUGUCCCCUGGGAAAAAGGUUGGAAAUUUCGCAAUCUUUUGAAAGAAACACCAGAGAUAGGCUCUGUUUGACGAGUCAACCUUUGAAAAUUCAUCUCUCACUA